rnacentral:lncRNA from 1 species
CACAACUUAUUUUGGUGGGUUGACGAACGGAGGUGGGUCGAAUUUCACUAUGCUUAAGUGGGGAUCAAUACUUUGUAGGCGAGUUGAGUUCGAACUCGAGCUAAAAAAAUGUAAGCUCGUGAGCCUAUUCGAACCUGGCUAGGUAAUUACUUUCAACGAGCCUAACUCGAGUUUUGUUCUUUAAAACCCUUGAUGAAUCGGUUUUGACCUGAAUUUGAGGCAAACACAUGUAGCACAAUCAUAAACUAACAUAUGAUUUAUUGUAUAUUUGUAUGAGGCAAACACAUGCGGCAUUUUUUUAGUCUACUAACGUCUAACGCGCCAUAUACUUGAGCUAAUAUUUAAAUUGGCUAUCAAGCUCCAACUCUAGCCAACUCGUGAGCCUAUCAAAAGUCGAAAUAGCAUAAACUGGCUCAAGUUUAGCUCAUUCGAGUCACGAACAAUUUUUUUUUGUCCUGAUGCCGAGCUACUCGCCAGCAGAUGUUUAAAAGUAUCGAUUGUAACGACAGGGGG